ACCUAAUGACUGGUUGAUAGGGGGUUACAAAGGGACCAGCACUUCAGGCUGAGGUCCCUGUUGCAUCCACGUUGCCCAAUUGGCUUCCUGCACACCCCGUGACCUUGUUCCCAAGAGCACCUCCCACACACCCCUACAUGCAAAUCUUCAUCUCAGGAACUGUUUCCAGAGAACCCGACACAAGACAAACCAAUAUUUCAGAACUGUUAAUACAAAAACUAGCCAGGCAUGGUGGCACAUUCCUGUAAUCCCAGCUACUCAGGAGGUUGAGGAAGGAGAAUCGGUUGAACCCAGGAGGGGGAGGUUGCAGUGAGCCCAGAUCGCACCACUGCACUCCAGACUAGGUGACAGAGUCUCACUCUGUCUCAAAAAAAACAAAACAAACAAACAAACAAAAAACAACAAAAAAAACCAAAAACAAAACAAAACAAAAAAACAACUGCUAUGUACACUGUAUGUCAGCUCCAUCAUGGGUCCCACUGAGAGGUGUGGGCUAGCCCCAGAACCUGUACCUGUCAUUGUGCACCUAGGGGAAUGCAUUGAGAGGUCAAAUGACUGAUUUCCAGUGACCUUUGAGGACAGAGAGAUUCGAGGCCAUAGCUAGCCCCCAGAGAGCGGUGGGACCUCAGGAUUCCCAGGCUGGAAAAGUUCUUUUUUGGCAUUUUAAUCCAGGGCUUGGCAGCCUUCACAAUUCGGAAGUUCUUCCUCACUUCAAAACCGGAAUCCCUCCUUCUGUAAUGUGUCCCUGUUUCCUCUCGCUUUUCCUCCAUGGAGCUGUGUCCUCGUGGGGUGGGGUGCAGGGUUGGUGGUUGGCUGGUGGCCUCACGUUUCCCCAGUUGGUUCAUGCUUGGGAUGUGCCACCUGUGAGCCCGGUUGGGUCUCUUGUAGGUUCCCACGGAGAUCAGCCUCUUCUGGUAGGUAUUGGAUGCUGCCUUUCCUCACUGACCGGGCGACGACUCCACUUACCCCUCCAGAGGCCUUAGUUGUCAACCCGACAGAAUUACUCAGGGGAAGUCAGAGCUCAUAAUUAUUUGACUAAUCCUCAUGUGGCAACACAUCGGAGGUUGUUUUUUUAGCACGAGGCAGGGCCCGAGUGAGAGUGUUUCCCACUGCAGGCUUGCCUGUCUGGGUCUGCAGGCUAGGAACAGGGCGCCUCCUUCCUGGGAGCAGGGAGAUGUGGAAAUGUGGGUGGGAAGCUGCAGGGCUGGGUCUCCGAGACCCUGGAAACCUGCAUCUCUCCAUACAUCAGCUUCCUAGGGCUGCUAUUCAAUGACUUGAUGGUUUAAAACGAGGAAUAUAUUCUCUCACAGUUCUGGAGGCCAGAUGUCCGCGAUCAGGUGCCAGCAUGGUCUUACCCUCUGUAAAGGGCUCUAGAAGUAAUUCCUCCUGGCUCUUCCAGCUUCUAGUGGCUCCAGGUGCUCCUUGGUUUGCGGCUGCUUCACUCCAGUCUCUACCUCCAUCUUCACGUGGACUUCUCCUCUGUGCCUCUCAUAAGGACACUCAUCAUUGGAUUUAGGAGCUAUCGGGAUAGUCCAGGAUGAUCUCAUCUAGAGAUCCAUAACUUAAUCACAUCCACAAAGAUCCUUUGUCCAUAUAAGGUCACAGCCACAGGUUAUCAGUAAACAAAUCUUUCUUUCUGGGGGUGCCAUUCAACCCACUACACCCUGGAAGGUGCCCUGCCCAAGCCAAUUAAUG
rnacentral:lncRNA from 1 species